GAUGAAGAACGUAGCGAAAUGCGAUAAGUAAUGUGAAUUGCGGAAUUCAGUGAAUCAUCGAAUCUUUGAACGCACCUUGCACCCUUUGGACUGCUCCAAAGGGUAUGCUCGUUUGAGUGUCAUUGUACUCUCACACUCUCUGAUCCUUUGGAUUUGGGGAGCAGUGGACUUGGGUGCUUGCUGCUUCCUUGUGGCUCACCUGAAAUGCAUCAGUGCAUCUCUCGAUUGGACAUAGUACGGCGUGAUAAGUGUCUUCGCCGGCACCUCAUAUGAGGGUGGCCGAUCGGGAGCUCUGUGCUUUCAAACCGUCUUCGGACAACGCUGACAACUUGACCUCAAAUCGAGUAGGACUACCCGCUGAACUUAAGCAUAUCAAUAAGCGGAGGA
rnacentral:misc_RNA from 1 species